GGGUUGUGAGGUUAAGCGACCAAGCGUACACGGUGGAUGCCCUGGCAGUCAGAGGCGAUGAAGGACGUGCUAAUCUGCGAUAAGCGCCGGUAAGGUGAUAUGAACCGUUAUAACCGGCGAUUUCCGAAUGGGGAAACCCAGUGUGAUUCGUCACACUAUCAUUAACUGAAUCCAUAGGUUAAUGAGGCGAACCGGGGGAACUGAAACAUCUAAGUACCCCGAGGAAAAGAAAUCAACCGAGAUUCCCCCAGUAGCGGCGAGCGAACGGGGAGGAGCCCAGAGCCUGAAUCAGCAUGUGUGUUAGUGGAAGCGUCUGGAAAGGCGCGCGAUACAGGGUGACAGCCCCGUACACAAAAGCGCACAUGUUGUGAGCUCGAUGAGUAGGGCGGGACACGUGGUAUCCUGUCUGAAUAUGGGGGGACCAUCCUCCAAGGCUAAAUACUCCUGACUGACCGAUAGUGAACCAGUACCGUGAGGGAAAGGCGAAAAGAACCCCGGCGAGGGGAGUGAAACAGAACCUGAAACCGUGUACGUACAAGCAGUGGGAGCACAGAUUUACCUGUGUGACUGCGUACCUUUUGUAUAAUGGGUCAGCGACUUAUAUUCUGUAGCAAGGUUAACCGCAUAGGGGAGCCGAAGGGAAACCGAGUCUUAACCGGGCGUUAAGUUGCAGGGUAUAGACCCGAAACCCGGUGAUCUAGCCAUGGGCAGGUUGAAGGUUGGGUAACACUAACUGGAGGACCGAACCGACUAAUGUUGAAAAAUUAGCGGAUGACCUGUGGCUGGGGGUGAAAGGCCAAUCAAACCGGGAGAUAGCUGGUUCUCCCCGAAAGCUAUUUAGGUAGCGCCUCGUGAACUCAUCUCCGGGGGUAGAGCACUGUUUCGGCUAGGGGGCCAUCCCGGCUUACCAACCCGAUGCAAACUGCGAAUACCGGAGAAUGUUAUCACGGGAGACACACGGCGGGUGCUAACGUCCGUCGUGAAGAGGGAAACAACCCAGACCGCCAGCUAAGGUCCCAAAGUCAUGGUUAAGUGGGAAACGAUGUGGGAAGGCCCAGACAGCCAGGAUGUUGGCUUAGAAGCAGCCAUCAUUUAAAGAAAGCGUAAUAGCUCACUGGUCGAGUCGGCCUGCGCGGAAGAUGUAACGGGGCUAAACCAUGCACCGAAGCUGCGGCAGCGACACUUUAGUGUUGUUGGGUAGGGGAGCGUUCUGUAAGCCGUUGAAGGUGGCCUGUGAGGGUUGCUGGAGGUAUCAGAAGUGCGAAUGCUGACAUAAGUAACGAUAAAGCGGGUGAAAAGCCCGCUCGCCGGAAGACCAAGGGUUCCUGUCCAACGUUAAUCGGGGCAGGGUGAGUCGACCCCUAAGGCGAGGCCGAAAGGCGUAGUCGAUGGGAAACGGGUUAAUAUUCCCGUACUUGGUGUUACUGCGAAGGGGGGACGGAGAAGGCUAUGUUGGCCGGGCGACGGUUGUCCCGGUUUAAGCGUGUAGGCUGACUUUCCAGGCAAAUCCGGAGAGUCAAGGCUGAGGCGUGACGACGAGGCACCACGGUGCUGAAGCAACAAAUGCCCUGCUUCCAGGAAAAGCCUCUAAGCAUCAGGUAACAUCAAAUCGUACCCCAAACCGACACAGGUGGUCAGGUAGAGAAUACCAAGGCGCUUGAGAGAACUCGGGUGAAGGAACUAGGCAAAAUGGUGCCGUAACUUCGGGAGAAGGCACGCUGACACGUAGGUGAAGUGGUUUACUCAUGGAGCUGAAGUCAGUCGAAGAUACCAGCUGGCUGCAACUGUUUAUUAAAAACACAGCACUGUGCAAACACGAAAGUGGACGUAUACGGUGUGACGCCUGCCCGGUGCCGGAAGGUUAAUUGAUGGGGUCAGCGCAAGCGAAGCUCCUGAUCGAAGCCCCGGUAAACGGCGGCCGUAACUAUAACGGUCCUAAGGUAGCGAAAUUCCUUGUCGGGUAAGUUCCGACCUGCACGAAUGGCGUAAUGAUGGCCAGGCUGUCUCCACCCGAGACUCAGUGAAAUUGAACUCGCUGUGAAGAUGCAGUGUACCCGCGGCAAGACGGAAAGACCCCGUGAACCUUUACUAUAGCUUGACACUGAACAUUGAGCCUUGAUGUGUAGGAUAGGUGGGAGGCUUUGAAGCGUGGACGCCAGUCUGCGUGGAGCCAACCUUGAAAUACCACCCUUUAAUGUUUGAUGUUCUAACGUGGACCCGUGAUCCGGGUUGCGGACAGUGUCUGGUGGGUAGUUUGACUGGGGCGGUCUCCUCCUAAAGAGUAACGGAGGAGCACGAAGGUUGGCUAAUCCUGGUCGGACAUCAGGAGGUUAGUGCAAUGGCAUAAGCCAGCUUGACUGCGAGCGUGACGGCGCGAGCAGGUGCGAAAGCAGGUCAUAGUGAUCCGGUGGUUCUGAAUGGAAGGGCCAUCGCUCAACGGAUAAAAGGUACUCCGGGGAUAACAGGCUGAUACCGCCCAAGAGUUCAUAUCGACGGCGGUGUUUGGCACCUCGAUGUCGGCUCAUCACAUCCUGGGGCUGAAGUAGGUCCCAAGGGUAUGGCUGUUCGCCAUUUAAAGUGGUACGCGAGCUGGGUUUAGAACGUCGUGAGACAGUUCGGUCCCUAUCUGCCGUGGGCGCUGGAGAACUGAGGGGGGCUGCUCCUAGUACGAGAGGACCGGAGUGGACGCAUCACUGGUGUUCGGGUUGUCAUGCCAAUGGCACUGCCCGGUAGCUAAAUGCGGAAGAGAUAAGUGCUGAAAGCAUCUAAGCACGAAACUUGCCCCGAGAUGAGUUCUCCCUGAGACUUUGAGUCUCCUGAAGGAACGUUAAAGACGAUGACGUUGAUAGGCCGGGUGUGUAAGCGCAGCGAUGCGUUGAGCUAACCGGUACUAAUGAACCGUGAGGCUUAACCUUACAACGCCGAAGCUGUU
rnacentral:rRNA from 1 species